rnacentral:rRNA from 1 species
GAUGAACGCUGACAGAAUGCUUAACACAUGCAAGUCGACUUGAAUUUGGGUUUUUUAACUUAGAUGUGGGUGGCGGACGGGUGAGUAACGCGUAAAGAACUUGCCUCACAGUUAGGGACAACAUUUGGAAACGAAUGCUAAUACCUGAGAUUAUGAAUAUAUGGCAUCAUAUAAUUAUGAAAGCUAUAAUCGCUGUGAGAAAGCUUUGCGUCCCAUUAGCUAGUUGGAGAGUUAACGGAUCACCAAGGCGAUGAUGGGACGCCGGCCUGGGAGGGUGAACGGCCACAAGGGGACUGAGACACGGCCCGUACGCCUACGGGAGGCAGCGGUGGGGAAUAUAGGAAAAUGGACCAAGAGUCUGAUGCAGGAAUUCUGUUUGCAAGAUGACGUUUUUCGGAAUGUAAAGUGCUUUCAGUUGCGAAGAAAAAAAUGACGGUACCAACAGAAGAAGUGACGGCUAACUACGUG